AUAUUUUACAUGCGAGACGAGGUGGCCGAGUGGUUAAGGCGAUGGACUGCUAAUCCAUUGUGCUCUGCACGCGUGGGUUCGAAUCCCAUCCUCGUCGGCAUUUCUAUUUUGU